ACUUGUAAAGGAAAUUCAACCAAAUACCAGACUAAAACUUCUCAAAACUCGUCAGGUUAUUGAAAACAAGAUAUGCCUGAGAAACUGUCACAGCCAAGAGGCAACUAAAGAGACAAGACUAUUAGAUGUCAUGUAUUCAAGACACAAUCCUGGAAUAUAAAAGGGAAAUUAAGCAAACAACAAAGGCAUUCUUGAUAAGGAACUUUUACCUUAUCUCCAAAGAAGAGAAGACAGCCAAGUCACAACAUGUCUUGACUCUUUCUAAAUCAGGAAAAUGGAGCACUGCAAGAUGCAACCGCGUGUCCAAGUUCGUAUCUCCAGUGAGGACCACAUCUCAUUUCUGCCCAGAGAAGGAUCCUGGGUCCUAAACCACGAUGCUCUCCUGCCCCUCACAUCUGGGUAGACUCUGAGCAUCCUGAGGACAAUGCAGAUGGUUGAUUCAGAUUUGCUUUGCUGUAGCUCAGCAGCCCAGACUGCCAAAUCAUAAAUAUUUCUUAGAUGAAUGCUGUCUAGGUUGUAACUGUUUGACCCAGGAAAUGUCAUGAUGAAAUGGGUGCUUGGGGAGCAUUAGUCUGAUAGAAUGCAGGUUGGUUGGACCAGAAGUGUGGGAGUUGAGAUGAGAACUAGAAAGAUGUCUUAGGAAACUAUUACAGUGCACUGAUGUGAGGAUAGCUGAGGCAGCCUGAGAGCUUAACUCUCAUUUUCCAUUGCAUAUAACACAACUUGACGAAGUCAUAGAAACAACUGUAUUGCACCAGUUUUCACAAUCAUUGUCCACUUUCCAUACCUCACCUUUUUCUCUGUGGCGAUGGAGACUUCUGCCUCAACAGCAAGGUUCCUCAGUGGUAGAAAUUUAUUGCAGGAGCCAUCCAAAUUGUCACAGAAAGGUGCCUUUAGUGACUAAAGAAGACCACAUCCAUAUUAAAUAUCCUACAACUUCAAGGUACAUCUGCAUAAGUUACCAAGUUUAGGCUCAUUCUUACACAAGUAAGAGUUUCACUGUGGCUCUCCAAAUACGAUUACUAGCGUUGUUUUCCAGAAUCAACAAAAGGAUGUGACUAUGGUGGUUCUUUCCACUUGAGGCCUUAAAAAAAUGCAUGUCCAUUCAUUUGUUCAGCUUCUAUUUCUCAUGUACCUACUACAUACCUGGCAUUCUCCUUGAUUCUAGGAGCAAAACGAGGUCCUUGCUCUUUAGAAACCUACAUGGUAGAGCGAUAAAUAAACAAUCAAGGAAUAAUCUA